UUUGGCAAUGAUGAUACAAACUUUCAGCUUACCAUGCCAGUUCUGCUUCUGAGAAUUCAUGACAGAUAAA
rnacentral:snoRNA from 1 species